AGCGUGAAUCACGACGCGAGCUCUGCUCUGAAGUCAGCGGCGGACGGGUGCACGUCAACACGGUGGGGCAACCUGCCUGUAAGACUGGGAUAACUUCGGGAAACCGGAGCUAAUACCGGAUAAUGCACAGCCUCUCAUGAGGCUAUGCUGAAAGAUGGUUUCGGCUAUCACUUACAGAUGGGCCCGCGGGCAUUAGCUAGUUGGUGAGGUAACGGCUCACCAAGGCAACGAUGCGUAGCGACCUGAGAGGGUGAUCGGCCACACUGGGACUGAGACACGGCCCAGACUCCUACGGGAGGCAGCAGUAGGGAAUCUUCCGCAAUGGACGAAAGCUGACGGAGCAACGCCGCGUGAGUGAGGA
rnacentral:rRNA from 1 species